rnacentral:rRNA from 1 species
GACGAACGCUGGCGGCGUGCUUAACACAUGCAAGUCGAACGGUGAUGCUCCAGCUUGCUGGAGUGGAUCAGUGGCGAACGGGUGAGUAACACGUGAGCAACCUGCCCCAGACUCUGGAAUAAGCGCUGGAAACGGCGUCUAAUACUGGAUACGAAACUGGCCCGCAUGGGCAUGGUUUGGAAAGUUUUUCGGUUUGGGAUGGGCUCGCGGCCUAUCAGCUUGUUGGUGAGGUAAUGGCUCACCAAGGCGACGACGGGUAGCCGGCCUGAGAGGGCGACCAGCCACACUGGGACUGAGACACGGCCCAGACUCCUACGGGAGGCAGCAGUGGAGAAUAUUGCACAAUGGGCGAAAGCCUGAUGCAGCGACGCCGCGUGAGGGAUGACGGCCUUCGGGUUGUAAACCUCUUUCAGCAGGGAAGAAGCGAAAGUGACGGUACCUGCAGAAGAAGCACCGGCUGACUACGUG